AGAGAGAGACAUGCGCGCAUAUCAAUAAGCGGAGGAAAAGAAGCUAACAAGGAUUCCCUUAGUAACGGCGAGUGAAGCGGGAAGAGCUCAAAUUUGAAAUCUUCAAGGUUCUACCUUGACGAAUUGUAGUUUAUAGAAGUGUUUUCUGUUAGUGGAGUGGCAAAAGUUCUUUGGAAUAGGGACAUCAUAGAGGGUGAGAAUCCCGUAUUUGGUCAUUCCUCCUAGCGUUGUGAUACACUUUCAACGAGUCGGAUUGUUUGGGAAUGCAGUCCAAAAUGGGUGGUAAAUUUCAUCUAAAGCUAAAUAUUGGCGAGAGACCGAUAGCGAACAAGUACCGUGAGGGAAAGAUGAAAAGAACUUUGAAAAGAGAGUUAAACAGUACGUGAAAUUGUCAAAAGGGAAGCGUUUGACACCAGUGUUGUUUUUCCGAAAAUCAAUUACGAAUGUUUUGUUUUUGAGGAGUUAUGACUUCAUCGGCUUGCUCCUUUCUUUACGAAACUUUCUUAAUGCACUUUUCGGUUAACAAGUCAACAUCAAUUUCUUUUGUUGUAAAAGGGUAUGAGGAAGGUGGCUUUCUUUUCGGAGAAAGUGUUUAUAGCCUUGUAGCCUCUGCAAUCGGAGAGAUUGAGGUCUGCAGCGUAGAUCCUUCGGGGUUAGAUACAUUUGUGCUAAGCUAUAGCCUUGUAUAGACAACUUGUUGACUAUGCUCAGUCAUGUAGCUUACUCGCUUAUGCUAUUUUACCUACGCUUAGGAUGUUGAUAGUCACAGCGUGUAC
rnacentral:rRNA from 1 species